rnacentral:rRNA from 1 species
CAGGGAUCGGAUUGGGAUCAAGGGGGAUUGGAGGUAUGCGGAAGGAGGAGCCUUAGGUGCGGCUAGGUGGGGCGGAGACUGUGAACCACGACGGACUCGCCGGUCGUUGCGGCGUCGGCGGCGGGAGGAGGUUGGCCCACGACGGUGCACCGGAGGGACGGAGAGGGAAGCGGCGCCGGGCACGUUCGGGUAGCCCCGGGCUGGCGCAGCGACGGGCGUACUACGGAGCGAGGGCUCAAGGUCUAGCCCUCUCCUCGAGGGCUAGGUCUCGGGGCGGCGGUCACUGGCCUUGAGCGGCAUCUACCCCUUGGCGGCGGUGGCGGAACCAGAAGGGGCUGGCGCGGCGGUACCUACGGGCAGAGGCGGAGACCAACCUAGGCCGGCUCUUGCCUCGGGGCGGCUGGAGGGCACCGGUCUAGGCGGACGAGGGCUUGGGCGGCUGGAGAGGGGCAACGGUCGCAGCACAGCGGGAGCGGCCUGCGGCGGCAACAGGACGAAGCUCCUCCUCGUGCGGGGUGAGUUGGGAGACGCAGCAACUGGCACGGCGGUCCACCCGGAGCGGGCGCCGGGUCGUCUGGGUGGGCAGGCGUAGCCCGGAGGGAGUCGGACGAAGGAGCAGUACCCGGCUCGGUUGUACCUCUACCGGGGUAAGAUUCGUAGUAGUAACAGGUAGGUUCGAGUUUUUCGUAUCGGGGGUCUACAACAUAACGAUGAGGGUUGAGACAGCUGAGUAAGACCUAGACCGAAGCGUGUCUACAUAGUGGUCAACGUCGUAGAGAGACUUACCUCCAUUCAGAUGUGUUUUCAUGCGUAAAUCGAGAAGGCAACAGAUCAUUUAAUAAACUCUCAUUUUUUAUUAAAUCUUCUGUGUUUCGAUGUAGUAUCGUGACGUAGUAGUCAACGGCUGUUUCUUUCGUACUUUAAGAUUGUUGUCUUUUCGUAGUUGUCAGGAUACUCUUAACACAAGUCUCUCAUUCUACACAAUAGUCCUUUUUUUGUGUAUUUUCACUUUCUCCGUACCAACAUAUAUCUAUCUAGCUAUAUUGGAACAUGUCAGCCAGAAGUUGAUGUUGCGUCCAAGUGAUGUUAAUGUUACGGAGUGUACUUUGGUUACUACUUUUCAUAUGGUAGUUGACGAUUCGAUAGGUCUAACGGAACCUCUAUUCUAGACGGAUGCAACAGGUCUUACUGUAGUUCCAGACCAUCUCUAUAAGGUGUAUAAUGUCAGUCUUACAUAUACUUUAACUGCCCAUAUUGAACCAUUUCGGUUUAUUAAAAUAAAUGAAAACGUAGUCCCGUAGUUCACAGUGUUCUCCUACCGUGCUAUUAUGGUAAAGGUAAUCAAAGAAGAAGCUAUGCACGAUGUUUCCAAAACAUCAAAAACGUAUAUAGGUGUGGAAUUUGCAGCGUUCGCUGAUCAAAGAGAAAUCUAAAGAGCUCGCCGUAUUGUCUAAAAGAAAGCCUUUUGUAGAAACAUGGUAUAUAUAACAUAAAUAGACUUGGUUAUUUGGACGUCACUUUUUUUGGAACUAAGGUUCCGCGAAGCGUUAGACAUAUCGUUUACACGGUUAAGACGAACUAGGUGACACUUAGACGUAUGCUGACCUCUAUCCAGCUGUUCUUUUUUGUUUCCGUACUUUUAAGACAAGGUCAAGUUAAGAGUGUUGUGGUUUAACACUUGGAUAAAAACGUAUCUUCACUAAUGAUUUAGUAAAGUAUGAGGUAAUCUCAUCGUGGUAAGUUAUGAAACAAUAAAAAGUCAAUCAGUCUCGUACAGUUAAACCACUACUGAUUCCUUCUAAGUGUAAGACGUUAGGAUUGCUUGUUUAAUCGGUCUCUCUAAAAGAAUUUCCCUUCCCUGAGUUGACCCCUCUACCGACCAGUACUUCUGCACGUCCGGUGGAGCCCGUUCGGCCGCCGUAGCCAGUCGCUGUGGGAGAGAUUGUAGCCCUCGUUGUCGGAGUCGCCGUGGUAGUGGAAGAGGCACAUGGACGCAUUCGUUGCUCUCGUCGACGUACUGGAGUUCGGUUAUGUGUUAUAAAGUACUUUAGUUAGUUAGUUAGUCAUGUGUUAUAAGAGAAUCAACAGGGUUAGUUAGUCCUUAACACAUGGAAAACUUGUCAACAUCUUUUUAGGAAAAGAUCGGUGAAACAUAGAAACUACUGAAGAAAAUGACCGGAGAGUAGUUAAAACCGUAAGUUCUUUAAUCCUUGGAUGAGUUCACCUUUAGUAGUUUAGUUAUGAGGUUUCGUGACGGUCGUCUCAUCGGUACAAACAUUAGUAUAUAAGUGGACUCAACAACUUACCAAAGGGUUUUAUCAGUAUAAACAGUGAGAUAGUAUUUUGUGUGGUCGAAAAUCACGAUCGACGUUUUUGUGAUAGUUACUGUCUAAUCAGAACAGAAGACAACUUUAUUUUAUUGACUUUGUAUAGUCUUUAUUAAUUCUAAGUAACUCUCAUAUUGUCUAAUCAGAACAGAAGACAACUUUAUUUUAUUGACUUUGUAUAGUCUUUAUUAAUUCUAAGUAACUCUCAUAUUGUGCAGUUCAUUUACCAGCACGGACCAGGAAAGUUGACAUUUGACCAGAUGAUAAAAAAAUGACUGCUGUCUUCAGUAUUCAAAGAAAACGUCGAUCUACUUGUAUGUGUUCAAUAGACUACCGGAUGUAUGCUGUUUUUUUAAUUGUAUACCUUCUUUUUAAUUGUAAUACUGGUUCCGUCUUAUUUUCCUGACCUUGAACAUCAAAACCCUUGGACCGACCGUUUCUGAUUACGUUUGAAAUAGGUACUGGCGUCCUAUUUCAACCGUCACCUAUUCAAGUUCUCUAUUGUCUCAGAAACGUACCGUCGAGUCUUCGUCCAUAUGUGGUAAUUGAACAGGCACCUUUAACUAUUCACAUACUAAUAAACUUUGUUCACAUACUAGUAACCAGUGUAUCGACUGUGUUUAAACUAAAACGUUUUUACCUCCCUAUAAUCCUCUAUUUCAAAGUCAAAAAAACAGUGUGGAUUGGAAGAUUAACUCGGUCUCGUUCUCGUCUCGUACUCUCUGGAACUUCUCAGCCUCUCCUCGCCGCGAGAACAGCACAUCCACCACGACUGGAGGUAAAGGUCUAGGUCGUUAGAGGAGAGAGCAGAGGAGUGACUUCUUUGGUUGUACCGGUACAUUUACGAAGUCAAAACUCUUAGUCACGUGUACUUGACAUGUA